rnacentral:rRNA from 1 species
UACGUAGGGGGCUAGCGUUAUCCGGAAUUACUGGGCGUAAAGGGUGCGUAGGUGGUUUCUUAAGUCAGAGGUGAAAGGCUACGGCUCAACCGUAGUAAGCCUUUGAAACUGGGAAACUUGAGUGCAGGAUAGGAGAGUGGAAUUCCUAGUGUAGCGGUGAAAUGCGUAGAUAUUAGGAGGAACACCAGUUGCGAAGGCGGCUCUCUGGACUGUAACUGACACUGAGGCACGAAAGCGUGGGGAGCAAACAGGAUUAGAUACCCGUGUAGUCCCUGAGCGGG